GGGCUUGGCAGCCUCAGAGUGGAGAGGGGUGUAUGUAGAUUAAAAUUAAAAGACAUGGCUUAUAACCAGGUCUCUUGGGGAACCUAGGAAGGGAGUGGAAAAAGAAAAAUUAAAGAGGAUGAUGUCCCUGAUUCUAGUUUCCAAUUAUGGCCUUAUUUGGGUAGUGACAAUAUGUACUUAGAGGGUGUAGGUUUUUGAGCUGUCACUAGAAAGGAGGAGCACUGUCCCCCUGGGCCAUAAUGUUGCCCUUGCUUGUCUUCUGCCAAGGAAAUGGAGCUCCAGUGGCACUGAGGGUGCUGUGUAUCGUUUGUUUGAAUGUAUGCACCUGACUUCAGGGGACACCUUCUCAUAGCGUGCAGUCUCUUGUGAUAUCUUACAGCAGUAGGGCUGUUGAAACAAUGCUGGAUGGCUUACAACUUACAGGAAUUUAUUUUUUUCUGGAGCAUGGAAUUCCGAGAACAAGAUGCCAACCGAUUUAGUGUCUGCCCAGAGAAGAGUUGUCCCUCCUGGUCCCUUGUAUCAUCUGGCCAUCUCUGAGACGCAUCCUGAGUGAGAGAAGCAGUUGCAGCAAAAUGGUAGCAGCUACAGCUCAGGACCAAAGUGCCGGAAACCAAGGGUAGCCAAGAUGUCUUCGCUUCCUCCCCGGAUCCCUCUGUAUCCCUGAAUUUGUUUGGCAGGAAGCCCCAUGUACUCCUUAGAAGCCAUAUAGCAAGGACCACAGUGGUUUUGUAGGGAUCCUGAGAGAAGUUUCCUGCUUCUGUACCAAAGACUCAUUUUCUCACUUUGGGAAGGGAACUUUCCUACAGCCAAAUGGAUCUGCAUGUCUUUUCCUUCCUGUCCGACCAGUUCCCAGCCCUGGUCUCAGACCUAGCCAGCAUGCUUGAGAGGACUGCAUAGACUUCUCUAAGUCCUCUGAAGGAGCUUAAACAGGUGUGAGACAAGAAUGUAAGAUUAUUCUGUGGUCUCUGCAGUGUUCAUUUCUCUUGACAGACUGUUGUGUCAGAUGAAAUAUGAAGAUGAUCUGUGCAAAAUGUAAACGAGUCACAAAGACCCAAGGUUGAAGCGGACAUUGUUACUGCUUCCUUCUGUCUUCCAUAAUAGUGUCCGUCUCCCUGAAUCUUUGGAAGUUGCUAGCAUCCUGAAUGUACAUAUGCCAUGUUAUUGGAGUAGUGAUGUUCCCAGUGGUAAUGUGAAAAGUAGUGAUUCCACCUAUGUCUAAUUAUGUGACAUUGAGUACUCAUAAGCUUUAAACUUUUCACCUGUUUUAUGAUGGUAUUUCUGUCUGCCUUACCUUCUUUUUUUUUAUUUCAAAGAGGAUAAAGCAGAAUAAAACCAAUCAAAACAAACCAGUGUAAGAAAUACAGGACCCCAAACAUUACAAAAACAAUAGUUACCAUAAUGCCUUUCGAUGUCUUCAAAAUAGCUGCAGAUAAGUUCAGACAUAGUAACAAUCAAAGAGAAUAUAAUAGAAUAGAAACAAUAAAAACAAGACAAUGAAUGUAAUAAAGGACUUCAAAAACAAGCCAAUAGUAAGUCUAAAAUUGCUACCAUAAUAAUAUUUUUCUAUCCUUGAAAUAGCUGCUCCUGCCACUGGAUUUAACAUAAUCAAACAAAACAAAAGAGAAUAAAAUCCCACCCAAUAAAACAAUGGAAAUUAUAUAAGACCUCAAAACAAGACAUAGGGAACCAACAAUGGCCGCAACCCUCAGAAGGAGAUACCUCCAGAUGCCACCCUGAGUAGCACUAUCCUCUGAAACAAUGAAUAGACCACUGGUCCUAGCCUGCAAUGUUAGUGAAACACCAAAACACCAUGGCAUCCAAUUGCAUUUAACCUCAAUAGUUAUAAUCACAGACUGUUUCUCCAGAUAAGCCAAUCACUUUCGGCGGGUUGGGGAUGGGGAUUGGUACUUUCUGUUUGCCAGCCUGUGCACCAGAAGGGGCUGGGGUCUGGCUUUCCCCAGUCUAAUGGAGGCUCAUUCAUGGCAUUGGUUCCCAGACUUGUUGGCUGAUACAAACCUUGUUCUCUCCUGCCUCAGUCUGUGAAUGGCCCUGCCUUAUUUUCUUACCAAAUAAAUUCUCAGCUUUGUCAUUCUGGAUCUCAGAAUCCCAGAGCUAGGCAAGGACUUUGCAUAUCAUCUAAAUACAACCUUUGCCUACUGUAAGAAUUCAGUCUCACCAGCAUACUGCACAUUUAAGGGCUCCAGCUACUUUCAACUGAGUACCUGUGUCCAGCUGUCCUCUUCAGGAGCACUGAUUAUUGGGAAGUCCUUCCUGUGCUUGGCUGAAAUCUGAAUCUUCUGAAAUAUAUCUGUUGAGUCUAUUUGGCUUCUGAAACCAACAGUAAAUUUAAUUACUUAGGGUGAAGAAUACUAUAAAAAUGUCAGUAGCAUUUUUUGUUAGCAAAUUAUUUUUAUAACUCCUUUGUUAACUUCAACUUUGGGAUUCUGAUCUGAUGAGACAGGCGUGGUAUCAGGUGUUUGGUAUUCUCAAGGGUCCCAGUGGCAUCAGUGAUAGAACUUUCUGGUGAUUCCUCAAGGUAAGUGUGGGUGUUAUUAAUAUUUGCUGUUCACAGACAGAAUGCUAGAGCUGUAAAUAGAAAAGUAAACUUUUUACACUUAAAUUAUUUUACUUGGAAAUAAUGUCCCUUUCAUGCUUGACAUUAUUUUUAUUCUGAACAAAAAAGCAUGAAGCUUGAUAAAAUACAGUGAAAAUUUCAAAAGGAGUAAAUCAUUUGUAACUGUAAAUGAAUAAAAUUACAUUUGUACCUUAUAACCUUAAUCAGUUGUGUUUCCCUGUGAUUAUAUGUUUAUGUGUAGCAGUUGUGAUUGUGUCACACAUGUUGAAUAUUCUAUUGUGUUAUACCCAUGCCAUUUGAAGUUAUUUAUUAUUAUUACCAUAAUGGUAGAAUUUUGUUGAAUGAAUACACCUGAUUCACUUAAAGAAUUCCCAUUAUCACUAAUUUAGAACCUGUGUUAGGAACAUCAGGAAUCUUCUCUUUGAGAAUUUUAAAUAUGGUAAAUGCCUCUAAUUCUCAAAUAAAGAUUAGUUCAUCAUUAACUCUUUGAGUAACCUCUCCA